AUUGAACGCUGGCGGCAUGCCUUACACAUGCAAGUCGAACGGCAGCACGGGGCAACCUGGUGGCGAGUGGCGAACGGGUGAGUAAUGCAUCGGAACGUGCCAUUGAGUGGGGGAUAACGUAGCGAAAGUUGCGCUAAUACCGCAUAUUCUGUGAGCAGGAAAGCAGGGGACCGCAAGGCCUUGCGCUCUUUGAGCGGCCGAUGUCAGAUUAGCUAGUUGGUGAGGUAACGGCUUACCAAGGCGACGAUCUGUAGCGGGUCUGAGAGGAUGAUCAGCCACAAUGGGACUGAGACACGGCCCAUACUCCUACGGGAGGCAGCAGUGGGGAAUUUUACGCAAUGGGCGAAAGCCUGACGUAGCGACACCGCGUGAGCGAAGAAGCCCCUUGGGGUGUAAAGCUCUGUCAGCUGGAACGAAAAGAAUGACGGUACCAGCAGAGGAAGCAUCGGCUAACUACGUGCCAGCAGCCGCGGUAAU
rnacentral:rRNA from 1 species